UUUUUUUUUUUUUUUUCAGUGGAAACCUGUCUCUAACUCCAGUGUCAUUUUGAGUCUGUUAUCAAUUUCAGCAGCAAAAUGAACCCUUCACUAAGUUCAAAAUUAUCAAACCUAACAAACAGCUCCAAGGAAAUGGGCAGUCUUGGUGGUCAUGUCUAUGUGGUGUGGAGCUGACAGUUGUGUCUUCAGGGCGUUUUAACAAGUCCUGCCUGCAUUCAUGUGGGCGCGGCACUGCAUUGCGCCUGAAGAUAUUUGCCACCAGUGAAGGUGUAGGAAGAGUGUGUGCGUACGUACGUUUGGUGAGCGAAUGUCCCAGGUCUUGAUGUCCUCCGUCACUGCUGGGCGCGUGAAUCUGGGUUCUCUCAGGUACACACUCUUGGUCCCUCGCUCCACGUGGCGCUUCAUGUCCAUCGUGUCAAGGGGGUCUUCCUCGCCGUAGGCCCAGAUAACCCUUACUGUGUCGUCCUGAAGAUGCACAUCAUGUCCUGCUGCAACCAGGAGUGAGUGUUGGGGAGCAAGCAACAGAAUUAACACCUGCUGCUGGUGACAUAUGACCUUGAUGUUGUGGCACCAGGAUAAAAACUUGCAGUAAAUCCUUUCUACUGAUCCUGCCUCCAUGCAAAGGAUAUUUCUGCUGAAGUUUGGAAUUAAUUUUUCUAGCUGUCUCUGCACCAUACUGCUUCUUACAAAAGGCAGAUGGUGAAACAACAGAAUGGGAAAAUUACUUGAACAUCACGGUUCUGCAGUCAUUCAUCCAUGAUGUACUGCAGAUUGUGUACUACAUUCAGGUGUGCAUAUAGUGCAGGGCAUCGAAGUAUACUAGAUGCCAAAAUGGAAGAGAAGAUGGAUGACUUUGCACCAGGAAUUGCUCAUUGAGACAUAAGAAGGGCCUGGAGAGGCAAUAAGAGGAAUGCAAUUCCACAGCUACACAUUUUCCAGCUUAUUGCUCAUUCCCAUAUAUUGGGGUUUGUGCCUGUGCACUGUGCAUGUUUUGCUGCAAUCCUUCAGUGCUACUGAAACAAGAGUUCAAGAAAACUCUCUCUAUCAGAAUUAUAGAAUUAUUGCAAUUAUAAAAUUAUUUAAUUCUUUAAAA